AUUCUUUACGAUUUAUGAUGACUAUAUGCUCUGUAAGGUGACCUUGGGUGUCUUGAAAGGCGCCUCUAAAUUAAAUGUAUUAUUAUUAUUAUUCUUUUUUAUCAAAUGUUAUGCUUAUGUUUUAACUGUAAUAUUUAUUCAUUCUUGAAGGCAUUUGCAUUCAUGAAAAGCAUUCUAUAAAUGAAGUGUAUUUUUAUUAAUAUUACCUGUAGGUCCCCGCCCACUGGUCAAGUGAAGCCCGCAGCUUCCUGCACUUGCCCAGCGAAGUCAUAUGAUCUGGCAGGGAGCAUUCCCACUGCCAACCGAGAAGACAUUCAGAAACGACGGGCAGAGGAGUACAAGAAGCACCAGGCUAGAACAAGCUCCAUUUUGAACACACUCCUCUUUGCUCCAUCCAACUCUCCACUGCAGUAUCCCAUUCAGGGUUUCACAGUACGCCCCUUGGUUCCCACUCUUAUUCCAGGUACAGUACGCUGCACUUCAGUGGUUUAAUCAAAUCGCCGCGAUACUGCUCUUCAGUUCAGUUGCUGUGCAAGUGCACUGCACAGAUAUACAUAUAAAGUGCAAUGUUCUUUUUCCUUAGCAUCCUUUCGGUGUUCAUUUAAUGUUCAAUGUAUUCCUCAGGAAAUAGUUUCACCCCGAAAGAUAUUUUGUUUCAGGUUUAGCGUUGCACGGGGUUCAAAGAAGCAGCUAUAAGGUUAGUAGUAAAACUCUGGGUGUCAAGUCAAAAUCGGGAUACAAGAGACAAUUCUGGAUGUCUUGGAGCUAAAGGUUAAAUUUCCCUGGUUCCUUGUUACGGCCCAUGUCUAACCAGCAUCAACACAGGUCCCCCUUACUAACAUAAUCAUUUGUUUCUCAUCAAGCAAGAGUUGAAAUGUAUUUUCUAUCCCUUUAAUGACAUGGCUAUGGGUCUCUCUUUAUCAGGGUUUUCCAAGCGGAACUUUUUACGGGACUUUUGGGUUUUCUUGGAAGCACUGGUGCACCUCCAAUAGGUGUUUGCAGAUUAUGUCCUGCCCGGGGUUAAACAACAGUUUUCUUCUACACGAACAACAAAUAAAUAUACAAUAACUAAAGCAUUAUUUUUACAUGAUAUUAUAUUCCAUAUAUAUAUACCAUUUUAGCCAAGCCCAGCCACAUUUUCCCAGCUACAUGUCACUUCAUUCUAUACAUCUCACCUUUUUAUAUUCUGUGAUGAAGUUAUUUUUUCUUUCGAACAAUGCAACUCUUUUCCAAUAUACUGUAUUUCUGCUUUCCUCACUCUUACUUACUUUGAUUCCACAAAGCUUGAAUAAACAGAGUAGGCCUACUGCUGCUUGAUUGUCUGCAUUUCCCUUCCUGCCUUCCUUCUGAUGUUUGCGCAACAUGGGUGACUGUAAACAACAGAAUCUUGAAUUCUGUCUCGGAAUUUUGCUCGGUCACCACUGAGUUCAACCGAGAUGGCGAGUUCGCCGUCCGAGGAAAAGGGGCGUGUUUGUGCGUGUCGCUAGGCAACGUCCUCGAACCUCCGAGACGGAUGGAUAUUAAAACGCAGAUGGUCCCACGUUCAAGCAACGCAAGGGGGUGAUUGGUCCGCUAACUAAAACCUGACGCACUAUGGAGGUAGAUUUGUGUCUUUAUUAUGCAAUCAAAAAUAAUAGGUUUGAGAGCAAAACUUUCCACACUGCAAUCAAAAAAUAGAUUUGAGAGCAAAACUAUCGACACUGCAAUCAAAAAAUGUUUUAUUGCAAGAAAAAUUAAUGUGAUAAAAAAAAUAUUAAUGGGAAUCCAAAAGUUUUGUUUGCAAACCCAAAAGUUUUGUUUGCAAAUCCAAAAGUUUUGUUUGCGAAUCCAAAAGUUUUGUUUGCGAAUCAAAAAGCUUUGUUUGCGAAUCCUAAAGUUUUGCUUGCGAAUCCAAAAGCUUUGCUUGCUGUUGAGCUGAAUCUCGUGGGCGGGACCUACGCCGAAAGAUGUAAGACACGUCUCUAUUGGCCAGUCUCGAUCGGAGUGACAGCUUGGCAACAUCUGAAAAGCCGCUGCCCCCCGACCGCCUCCAGAAGCAGAUUGUCGGCCUGUUCGUUUGUGCCUCUCAAUCCGCGGCGGCGGUCAACAACAUCGCCCUGCUCUCCUCUGCCAUGGUCUCCUUGUCGGCUGACAGGGAGGCCUACGGGAUUUUCAGGGCACGCAAGUGCGCGCACGGGACAAGCCCAUAAGGCGAAGCCUAGACGGCGUAGCCUGCAUGAAAUAGAACUCCC
rnacentral:lncRNA from 1 species